rnacentral:tRNA from 1 species
GUUAAGGUGCCUGAGUAAAGGGUUAAUUUGAUAGAUUAAAUCAAGUUUUGUGGUGAUUUCUU